rnacentral:misc_RNA from 1 species
AAGUCGUAACAAGGUUUCCGUAGGUGAACCUGCGGAAGGAUCAUUAACACGUUAUCCACGUAUCACCAACGAGAAUCGUUUUCAAUCCUCGCCGACAAUACAAUGAAUUGGAACUUGUCUUGGAGCUUUUGGAUGGGAUGCUUGCGUCCGCUAUACUCGCCACUGACUCGCGUUGCUUAGAAAUAAGUCCGGGUCGACAAUUGUAUGUAUUGGAGGUCUACUCUCAUCGGGUCUUCAGCCAAUCCUUGAUCAGCUCGAUGGGAAAUAAUGUUACCCCUUUCACCCCCUUUUUGCUAGUUGACUUUUUUCUGUGGCUCAUUUGCUUCGGCAUUUGAUCACACGUUUAAUUAUUUGAACGUUAAAAAUACAACUCUUAGCAAUGGAUAUCUAGGUUCUC